rnacentral:rRNA from 1 species
CCUACGGGAGGCAGCAGUGGGGAAUAUUGCACAAUGGGGGAAACCCUGAUGCAGCGACGCCGCGUGAGCGAUGAAGUAUUUCGGUAUGUAAAGCUCUAUCAGCAGGGAAGAAAAUGACGGUACCUGACUAAGAAGCCCCGGCUAACUACGUGCCAGCAGCCGCGGUAAUACGUAGGUGGCAAGCGUUAUCCGGUUUUACUGGGUGUAAAGGGAGCGGAAACGGUCCUGCAAGCCCGAUGUGAAAGCCCGGGGGUCCACCCCGGGACUGCAUUUGGAACUGUAAGGCUAGUGUGUCGGAGAGGCAGGCGGAAUUCCUAGUGUAGCGGUGAAAUGCGUAGAUAUUAGGAGGAACACCAGUGGCGAAGGCGGCCUGCUGGACGAUGACUGACGUUGAGGCUCGAAAGCGUGGGGAGCAAACAGGAUUAGAUACCCUAGUAGUC